AGAGUUUGAUCCUGGCUCAGGAUGAACGCUAGCGACAGGCCUAACACAUGCAAGUCGAGGGGUAGCAGUGUAGCAAUACAGCUGACGACCGGCGCACGGGUGAGUAACGCGUAUGCAACCUACCUAUUACAGGGGAAUAACCCGGAGAAAUCCGGCCUAAUACCGCAUAAUACUUUCGGAUGGCAUCAUUUGGAAGUUAAAGAUUUAUUGGUAAUAGAUGGGCAUGCGUUCCAUUAGUUAGUUGGUGAGGUAACGGCUCACCAAGACGUCGAUGGAUAGGGGUUCUGAGAGGAAGGUCCCCCACACUGGUACUGAGACACGGACCAGACUCCUACGGGAGGCAGCAGUGAGGAAUAUUGGUCAAUGGGCGAGAGCCUGAACCAGCCAAGUCGCGUGCAGGAUGACUGCCUUAUGGGUUGUAAACUGCUUUUAUACAGGAAUAACAACAGCUACGUGUAGCUGGAUGAAUGUACUGUAAGAAUAAGGAUCGGCUAACUCCGUGCCAGCAGCCGCGGUAAUACGGAGGAUCCGAGCGUUAUCCGGAUUUAUUGGGUUUAAAGGGUGCGUAGGCGGUCUAUUAAGUCAGUGGUGAAAGUUUGGAGCUUAACUCUAAAAUUGCCAUUGAAACUGGGAGACUUGAAUACGGUAGAGGUAAGCGGAAUGCGUGGUGUAGCGGUGAAAUGCAUAGAUAUCACGCAGAAACCCCGAUUGCGAAGGCAGCUUACUGGACCCGUUAUUGACGCUGAGGCACGAAAGCGUGGGGGAUCAAACAGGAUUAGAUACCCUGGGUAGUCCACGCCGUAAAACUAUGAUUGCUAAGCUAUUUGGCGAUACACCAGGUCAGUGGGCACAGAGAAAAUCGUUAAAGCAUUCCACCUGGGGAGGUACGCCCGGCAACGGGUGAAACCUCAAAGGAAUUUGACGGGGGCCCCGCACGAGCGGAAGGAACAUGUGGUUUAAAUCGAUGAUACGCGAAGGAACCUUUACCCGGGUUUUGAACCGCAGGGGAAAUAACGGGUUGAAGA
rnacentral:rRNA from 1 species